GUGGGAGGGGGCUUGCCCCCGAUGGCGGUGGAUCAGUCAGAUCUAACAGUGCCUGACACUCCGCUAUCGGGGGCAAGCCCCCUCCCAC
rnacentral:misc_RNA from 1 species